rnacentral:rRNA from 1 species
AACGUAGGUCCCGAGCGUUAUCCGGAUUUACUGGGCGUAAAGCGUGUUCAGGCGGUCUAGCAAGUCGGGCAUGAAAUCUCUCGGCUCAACCGGGAGGGGUUGUCCGAUACUGCUGGGCUUGAGGGCAGCAGAGGGUGGUGGAAUUCCGGGUGUAGUGGUGAAAUGCGUAGAUAUCAGGAGGAACACCAAUGGCGAAGGCAGCACUCUGGGACGUGACUGACGCUGAGACGCGAAAGCGUGGGGAGCAAACAGG